rnacentral:rRNA from 1 species
GGGGAAUAUUGGACAAUGGGGGGAACCCUGAUCCAGCAAUGCCGCGUGUGUGAAGAAGGCCUGCGGGUUGUAGAGCACUUUCAGUGGGGAGGACGAUUGUUUGGUUAAGAGCUGAGCGAGAAGACGUUACCCACAGAAGCAGCACCGGCUAACUCCGUGCCAGCAGCCGCGGUAAUACGGAGGGUGCAAGCGUUAAUCGGAAUUACUGGGCGUAAAGGGUGCGUAGGUUGUUGAAUAAGUUAUCUGUGAAAUCCCUGGGCUCAACCUGGGCAGGUCAGAUAAAACUGUUUGACUCGAGUAAAGGAGAGGGUAGAGGAAUUUCCGGUGUAGCGGUGAAAUGCGUAGAGAUCGGAAGGAACAUCGGUGGCGAAGGCGUCUACCUGGCCUAUUACUGACACUGAGGCACGAAAGCGUGGGGAGCAAAC